GGGGCCUUAGCUCAGCUGGGAGAGCGCAUGGCUGGCAGCCAUGAGGUCAGGGGUUCGAUCCCCCUAGGCUCCA
rfam:Slackia heliotrinireducens DSM 20476, complete genome.